GGCAAUUACAGGACGUAUGAUUUGUUCAGACGCACUGCCCGUUGGCUGUUUCCUAGCACCACAUUUCACAGAAGCACCAGGUUGAAAUGAUGGAAUUAUUUAUCUCUCAAUGUAAUACUUCGUACAGUGCUCGAAUGCAGAAGUGAACGUGGACUGUAAUCUUAAAAACGAAGCCUGUUCAGCCUGGCCCUUUUGUGAGCUGCAGAAGAGAGACCUAAAGACAGACCCAGAGGCCUCCAUGGUCUUGCUGCUUUGAUCUGCUCCAAUGGAAGAGAUAGACAGCCAGUGAGAGAGGAACACAAGCGGAGGAGUGGGAGAGGAAGAAGCAGGCU